CUUGUCUCCAUCUGCUGCCUUUUGGCAGCUGGGUGAGCUCUUGGUUCUGCAAGGGGAGAAAGAAAAAGAAUGGAUUUUCCAGUCUCUUUGACCCCUGAGAUCUCAAAGCCCCUGUGAAGAUCGAUCAGUUGGCAUGGCUGGAUUCAGACUUCCCAGGCCAAGAGGACUUGAAGAAAUGAUCAGAUGAAUCUCAGAAACUCAGAGUUUGAAUAAUAGUUGUCGGUUAUUGCACACUUGCUGUGUGCCAGGCAUGGUGCUCACUGCUGCCCAUGGAUCAUUUCACCUAAUUUCAUCUACCAGCCUGAUAUCUGCACAUGUGAGAACCUGAGACGUAGGGAGUUUGCACGGCUUUAGCUUUCGCAGAAGGAGUAACACAGGGUCAUACCAACUUACUCCAGUUACCAAUUCUGUGACCUCAGACUGGAGCCAAGGACUCUGCAGGCCUUGAAGAUGCAAGCUGGUAUGAUGUGAACUGCCACAUGGCAGGGAACUGCAGGUACCCUCGAGGACGUGAGGACCUCAUUCUUACAUCUGCAAGAAACCAAAUUCUGCGGACAGCUAUGUGAACUUUAAAAGAAGACCUGGAACCUCCAGAAAGGAAUGCAGCCUGGCCAAUGUGCUGAUUGCAUCCUUGUGAGACUCUGAGCCAGAGGACCCAGCUAAACUCUGCCUGGACUCCUGACCCACGGAAACUGUAAGAUAAUAAACGUGUGUUGUUUUAAGCUGCCAA
rnacentral:lncRNA from 1 species